UACUCCUACGGGAGGCAGCAGUGGGGAAUAUUGCACAAUGGACGAAAGUCUGAUGCAGCAACGCCGCGUGGAGGAUGACACAUUUCGGUGCGUAAACUCCUUUUAUAUGAGAAGAUAAUGACGGUAUUAUAUGAAUAAGCACCGGCUAACUCCGUGCCAGCAGCCGCGGUAAUACGGGGGGUGCAAGCGUUACUCGGAAUCACUGGGCGUAAAGAGCAUGUAGGCGGAUUGAUAAGUUUGAAGUGAAAUCCUAUAGCUUAACUAUAGAACUGCUUUGAAAACUGUUAAUCUAGAAUGUGGGAGAGGUAGAUGGAAUUUCUGGUGUAGGGGUAAAAUCCGUAGAGAUCAGAAGGAAUACCGAUUGCGAAGGCGAUCUACUGGAACAUUAUUGA
rnacentral:rRNA from 1 species